rnacentral:lncRNA from 1 species
GGAUUCGUUUAAGAGACCGUAUUCUUGGAUAUAUCCUUAUGGUGUAGUUCCAGGAAGAUUUCCAGUUUGAAGGGGGCCGUUUAACUGAUGGUAAAACUGGGCAGUGAUAUGAGAUGUAUGGUGGAUUCGUUGAAGAAACCGUAUUCUUGGAUAUAUCCUUAUGGUAUAGUUCCAGAAAGAUUUCCAGGUUGAAGGGGGCCGUUUAACUGAUGGUAAAACUUGGCAGUGAUAUGAGAUGUAUGGUGGAUUCGUUGAAAAAGUAUGAAACUCGGUCUGAAGC